rfam:Aspergillus versicolor CBS 583.65 unplaced genomic scaffold ASPVEscaffold_1, whole genome shotgun sequence.
GGUCUUGUGGUCUAAUGGUUAUGACAUCAGACUCUGAUACCAUAAUUAGAGUCACAUCUGGUAAUCCCGGUUCGAUCCCGGGCAGGACCU